rnacentral:lncRNA from 1 species
CAUGGGCCUGGCCCAAUAAUCCCCAACAUUUUAGCCUUUUUUAUUUUGGGUUGCGGCCUUUUACUUUCUGUUGAUUUUCUUUUUUGGCCAUUUUAUUUUUGUACUAGUCCCACAUGUCAUGCUGAUCUCAAAAUUGGUCCAACACAUCAGAAAUUUCCAAAUAUGUCAAACAACCAUUAUAACUUGAACCCCUUUUCCAAGUUACCAUUUCUGGGGUAUUCAAAUCACAUACACAAUCAUUAUUUUGAACAAUCCAAAGAGCAAAUGGAAUUCGUCUAAAACAACACUACAUUAGUCUAUUACAAUCGUUACAUUAUGCUACAGCCCAAAUAAGCCUACUACUGCCUACAAUUACAACACAUAAUAUGCUACUCUUUGCUGAUAUACUUCACAGCUUUGGACUUGGAUUCGCACUUCACCUGUGCAAAAAAUAAGAAUAAACAUAUAAGAAUAAGAAACAGUGGUCAAUGAGUGAUCCAAUAAGUUAGAAACAAUAAUUGAUAGGAAAUGAAAUGUACAUAAAUAGUAUGACUAACAUUAAUCAGUAUGUGUUUAUGGAGCGACUAAAAUGUUCUCAAACAACAACACAAUCAUACAGUAGAACUGUAGUUGAAAAAAUUC